UAGAGAUAGAGCUACAGAUAUGUAGAUACAUUGAGCAAUGGAAACUCUCAGUCUUGGUCAAAUUGCCGCGCCUCAUUGAAAACCUUCGGUCUUCGUCUUGGCUUCACUCGGAAAUCGAAUCGAAACGAAUCCAAUUCAUGUAUCAGUACACAUAUGUAUCCAUUGGAUGCGUAACACGCGCCAGCAUUUAACUCUCCAUAAAUACGAAGUACAGCGAUAUCGUGCUAAGGUUAAAUUUAGUGGAUAGCUGCAAAUGAAUUCGAUCGCAAAGCAAGGCUGCUAAUGAGCCAAGUCCACUGGAAAUACGAUUGCCGUAAUCAUCAGCUGCAACUCACGAAAUAGUCGAGACUUGAACAAAGAAAUGGGGAGUGCGUGAGGCUCCUUUAGCUGAUUGAUUGUUUGCCAAAGUUUGCAUGUUAAUUGCCUUUAUGGUGGCGAUAGACGACAAAGCACACUUAAAAGUCUAAAACCCCAUUACUGAGUUCAUUGGAAUUUUCUUUUUUAUCAGUCGUGUCGCCGUCUCAUUUUCUACAAAUUAACAUUACUAGCUUGUGACUCUCAGCCUGGCGAAGACAAUGGAACUAAAGCAAAUAUAAUAGUGUUAAGCAAUCAAAUCCUCUGGAAGCGGAACAAAAACGAUCGAGGCUGACCCAACAAUUCAAUUAAGUUGGCUCCUCCUGCACAUCUGAACGAUCGAGCCCGAGCGGAGACGACUUGGUUCCUACCUGCUAGUCCGGCUGGCUGAUGCGGAUUGAAAACAAAACAAACAGAGCUUAGACAACUCACAACAAUGCGGUCGUUGGACGCGCAGGCGCGCAGCGGGGGCGCUUAAUAUGCAGCCAGCGUAGCUGGCAAGUCGAAGAUGUAUACCCAUAUACCCAUGCCAUAUAGCCAGCAGCAGCUGGCGUCUUUCGUUCUUGCUGUCGCUCAACUGAUCAACUGGUUUAACAAUAAAAACAAAGCUCAGGCGGCGUUGGCGUUGCUUGAACGUUCAACA